AUGGUCGGCCUGCUGAGCACGCCGGUGCCGUCCCCGUCCACCUCCGUCUCCCUCGGCCUCGGCUCCCCCGCCGCCGACGACGGCGGCUCCCUCAAGUCCCCCGCCGUCGAGGCGCCCCGCCGCAGCCUGCGCCUGGCCGGCGCCGCCAGCCCGGGCACACCCCCGGCGGCCUCUUCCGACCGGGACGGCGCUUCGUCGGGCGCUCGCGGAAGGAGGAAGGGGAGGCCUCGUGCUUCCGCCGUUGCUGCGGCUGCUUCCCCGGAGGUCGGGGAGCUGGGGAGCGAUGGCGGCGGCGGCGGCGAGGCUAGGGCCUCGGGCGGCACCGGCGGCGGCUCCAGUGGUCAGGGGGCGCGCAUGAGCUUGCGGUCAGGGUCUCGGCUCGGGAAGCGGCCGGUGGAGCCAGAUGCCCACGCAGAGAUGGGGCUUGGACCGGAUGGAGGGGGGUCCGGGUCUGGACACAACGUGCACGACGAAAUGCUGCAGCAGGACGCCGACGGGAUGGCGAAGCGGCGUAAGGGCGUAUCGGCUCAGCUGGCCGACUACGUGGCUGAUUCAGAGAGCGACAGUGAUGAUGACUUUGUGCUACCGGUGAAAGGGAGCGCAAGCACGUUGGCUGGAGCGGCGGCCGAUUACGUGCCUGAUUCGGAGAGCGACAGGGAGGAUUUUGUGCUGCCGGGGGAUCGUGGCUUGAAGGUACCGGCAAACUUGUUCACUCCUUUUAAUCUGACUGAACCGAUUGUGGUGGCUACGGGUUCGCAUAUGACAGGCCAGGGGAGUGGUGGUUCUGUGAGGGCUCGUAGAGGGGGAAUUGGACAGGUUAAUGACAGGAAUGAACAGCUCUUCAGUGAGGAGUCUAUGCUCAUGCAUGAUUCGGCAGAGAAGGCAGCUGGUGGCAUUGUUAAGCCGUUAGCAUCUGCCGCAGACAAAGCCUUUGCGGAUGUGGAUUUCAGUGAGGUUCUCAGGCAUGAGUCUAGAAAUAGAGGCGAAGGAAACUCAAAGCUGGUUCUUGGGAACAAUGAUUCAGGUUCUGCUGUCAGUGUUGGUAUUCCAUCUGGUACCAGGACCAGGAAGUUCAGUCGUGAUGAUAAAGGAAAGGGGAAGAUGGUUGCGGAAGAGGUUUUAUUGCCCCAGAAGUUAAGUGAUGAUGACAUGGAUUGGGAACCUGUGGUUUUACAAGAGAAUCAGAGCGUCUCAGGAGCAGCUGAUGCUGAUGUGGAGCCACUUUGGAGGCAAGCGGCAAGAGAGAGAGCUAUUAAGCUGGCCCCAAAAUUUGCAUUCUUCAAAGCAGAUGAAGAUGUACAUAGUGACGAAGAUGAUGAGGAAGAGUUAGAGCCUGCGGCUGAUGCUCAGGAUUGGCCAGGUCCAUAUUCUACUGCAUUGAGGAUCAUGGAUGAUAGAGAUGCUAAAUUGAGAGCCCGGGAGUUGAAUCCGUCGUCUAAACUAGCUAAUGAUGCUGAUAAUGUCAUUUUGUGGACACCUUUGAAAAACAAGAAAGCUCCGCUGCGCCCCGUCCCGUCACUUGCGAGCUUAUGCAUGCAAACUCUUGCAAGCCAUGCUGAAGGUAUUGAAUCACUUGGAGGCAUACCUGAGGAGUUAAAACAUAAACUUCUCACGGAACUGUGCCGUUCUAGGAAGAUGAAUACCCAUCUUCUUACUGAAAUCUUGUGUGAUAAUCCUGUGGCACUGCAGCUUAGGGAGUGUUCGUGGUUGAAUGAGGAUGACUUUGAGGCUGUUUUUGGGAAAUGCAUGACUGAAUCCUUAGAGGUUCUGCAGCUUGACUUAUCUGGGCGAUGCAUACCUGACUAUAUUUUGCCUGCUACCUUGGCAAAGGUUCCUAAUUGCAUGCCAUUAUUAAGAAAAAUAUCUCUGAUGGGAAAUUACCGUCUUUCUGAUAAUGGGUUAGACAAACUCAUCUCAGCAGCACCUUCUCUGAGUUCGCUCAAUUUAAGCGAGUGCUCUCUUCUCACAUCAACUGGAAUUGAGAAUCUUGCUAAUAGGCUGCAAUCUGUAUUGAGAGAACUAUAUAUUAAUGACUGCCUAAAUGUGGAUGCCAUGAUGGUUCUUCCUGCUCUAAAGAAAAUUAAACAUUUGGAGGUUUUAUCAAUGUCUGGCAUACAGUCUGUCUGUGACAAGUUUGUGAAUGAGCUCAUUCCUAUACAUGGCUCUAAUAUAAGGGAGUUAGCGUUUGCUGGUUGCCUGAAACUGACCUCAUCUUCCAUUAAGACUAUUGGGGUGAACUGCCCCCAGUUAUCAUCUUUAGAUAUACGAAACUUGAAUAGGUUGCGUGACUCAGCAACAAGACAUCUUCGUGAUGGCUGUCGGCUUAUAAAGAAAUUAAAGCUUCAAAAGAAUACGUUCAGUGAUGUAGCACUGUCUCAGUUUUUGGAAGAAUCUGGAGGAUCUUUAACUGAGUUGAGCCUAAACAACAUUGAGAAGGUUGGAAACCUUACUGCACGGGCGAUUGCUCUCAAGUGCUCUGUACGCUUGGAGGUUCUGGAUGUUUCCUUCUGCCGUGGUCUGUCCAAUGAAGCUUUGGGGCUGAUUGUUGACAGUUGCUCAUCGUUGAAAACUCUCAAGCUAUUUGGGUGUACCCAGAUCACGGAUAUUUUCCUCAAGGGCCACUCGAACUCAUUGGUGAAAAUUAUUGGGAUAGAAGGGAGCAUACUGGAGCAAUUGGGUCGUUGUUAG
rnacentral:rRNA from 1 species